CAUCCUUACCCCCUGCUAAACAGAAAGCAUCUGAAGAGUGUUUCAGCUGUUAUUCUAUAGAAAACAAAGUCUGACUGAGACCAAAAGUGACAUUUUCCAUGUUCCCUCCUCCCUCCUGUUCUUCCACCCCACAGGCCCAUAAAAGAAAAAUGAUUCAGAAAGUCCCGAGCAAGUGAAACCCGGAAACGUGCUACACUUGUGUCUGGCAGCCUCAUGCCCUGGAGCCACAAAACACAGAGCCUCCAUGCAGUAGGUGAAGAGAACUCUGAAGAGAUGUCACCUCAUUUCUCCCCAGCUCUUGCUCAGUCAAAAAGGACAUGGGAUAUCUGAAAGCAGAAGCAGGAAGACUAUUCUCAGGUGUUCUGGGGAAUGGGUGUGCUGGAUGAAGCUGGAGGCUGGAAAGAAUGGUCUCCCAUGUUCUUCAGGUCUUCUCAUUAUUCUUUAUGGUCAAUGUGAGGGAUAUGGGACAUUUAGAUUCUUUGAAGUUUCCAUGAGAAUAUUUGGCUGAAAUAGGGGAAAGAAGAUAGGGACAAGAGUAAAAUACAUCUCACUGUGGAUAUGAAGAAAGGGUGUGGUAACCACUCUCAAAAAGGCCUCCAGUAAUCCUUGUCUUCUAGUGUUUUUAUCUUGCAUGGCGUCUCUCCCUGCAUUGAAUCCCUUUUUGUCUGUAUGACCAAUAAAAUAUGGCAAAAAUGACA
rnacentral:lncRNA from 1 species